rnacentral:rRNA from 1 species
GACUAAAAAUAACGAUGCAUAACUCAUUCCGAGGCUCUGCAAACGGAAUGAGUACACUCUAAAUCAUUUAACGAGUAUCCAUUGGAGGACAAGUCUGGUGCCAGCACCCGCGGUAAUUCCAGCUCCAAUAGCGUAUAUUAAAGUUGUUGCGGUUAAAAAGCUCGUAGUUGGAUCUGUGUUCCGCGCUGUCGGUUCACCGUUUUGUCGGUGUUUUAACUGACAUGUCGCGGUACGUCCUGCCGGUUGGUGGCGCGGUCUGCGUUUGGUUCACCUUUCGGGGGGGGCCUGCGUUGGCUGCGUCUGCCAGACUCAAUCCUGUCGUGGUGCUCUUCAUCGAGUGCCAGGGCGGGCCGGCACGUUUACCUUGAACAAAUUUGAGUGCUUAAAGCAGGCUACUAUUGCCGGAAAACUGUGUGCAUGGAAUAAUACAAUAGGACCACGGUUCUAUUUUGUUGGUUUUCAGAAUCCGAGGUAAUGAUUAAUAGGGACAGGCGGGGGCAUUAGUAUUGCGACGUUAGAGGUGAAAUUCUUGGAUCGUCGCAAGACUAACCUAAGCGAAAGCAUUUGCCAAGGAUGUUUCCAUUAAUCAAGAACGAAAGUUAGAGGUUCGAAGGCGAUCAGAUACCGCCCUAGUUCUAACCAUAAACGAUGCCAGCCAGCGAUCCGUCGACGUUCCUCCGAUGACUCGACGGGCAGCUUCCGAGAAAUCAAAGCCUAUGGGUUCCGGGGGAAGUAUGGUUGCAAAGCUGAAACUUAAAGGAAUUGACGGAAGGGCACCACCAGGAGUGGAGCCUGCGGCUUAAUUUGACUCAACACGGGAAACCUCACCAGGCCCGAACACCGGGUGGAUUGACAGAUUGAGAGCUCUUUCUUGAUUCGGUGGGUGGUGG